rnacentral:rRNA from 1 species
CUACGGAGGGUGCAAGCGUUAUCCGGAAUCAUUGGGUUUAAAGGGUCCGUAGGCGGGCGAUUAAGUCAGAGGUGAAAUCCCACAGCUCAACUGUGGAACUGCCUUUGAUACUGUUUGUCUUGAAUUUUAGUGAAGUAGAUAGAAUAUGUAGUGUAGCGGUGAAAUGCAUAGAUAUUACAUAGAAUACCGAUUGCGAAGGCAGUCUACUAACUAACAAUUGACGCUAAUGGACGAAAGCGUGGGGAGCGAACAGGAUUAGAAACCCCAGUAGUCC